GUAGGGGGCCCCGGCCUUUCACGGUCACUCGGGACAAAUGCAGAGCCCCGCGACAGACGGCGCUGCUGGGGGAGUCUUUCGGGCUUGCUCUGUGCGCCUGGGCCCGUUGACUACGUGUGGGCCUUGGUUUAAUGCGCUGCGGUACCUCGCGAGCUCCGGAGCCGGGCGCGCUCACUCAGCGCGGCAUUCGCCGGCUAGACCUGCCCUGCGGGAAUCCCGGAGUUGGGCGGGGCCGGCCGCGUUCGGAGAGGCCCUGCCGAGAGGACCAGAGCUGGGGAAGAGCCUGCCCUGACGUCCCCCCAGCUGCGCCUUCAGCACAGUGUACGACAUCCGGGGCGGGAACGUAGAGCCGACCAGCGUUUGCAUUUACGUUUGCAGGGACUGUAACAGUGUGACAAUCCCGACCCUUGAGUGUUAAAGAGCACUUUGUAAAUUCUGCAUACUGUUGUGAUUGCGUCUUUGGCAUGAAAAGGUUUCAUUACAAAGAAUCUGCCAUGCGUAGUGGCGCACGCCUGUAAUCCCAGCACUCGGGAGGCUGAGGCAGGAGGAUUAUGGGGCUAGUGAGUUGAAGGCCAACCCGAGCUACAUACACAGAGAAACUUUGUCUCAAAAAAAGGGGACCGGACCGGGUUCGAGUAUGGCCGAAAACUGCUGAAUGGGGAUCUUGGGGAGGGUGGGAUCUCCCCACCCCGAGCACAACCUGGCUCUGCAGCCACACGGUGCUUCCUGCUUGUCCACUCCGCGGUCCACGGCAGGGCUGGGCUCACUCAAGUCUCUUCCAGGUCACCGGCUGGACCCUGGAUCCAGCCCUGCGUACACCCGCUGCGCAGAGAGGCGCCUUCCUGAAUUCGAACCCUCGACCAGUGAAAAUUUCGAGCCGUGGUCACGGACCCUCGGGGCUCUCCUCCAGAAGCCUCCGCCGCCUCCCUCCAGAGCCGAGGAACGAGGAGGUAGAGACCAGGCGACAGGAGUGGCCCACCUUAGUGGAUCCGGGGCUACGUGGACGCCCACAGGGUCACGCGGUGUGUACCACAGGUCACCAAGCAACCUGAUGGCGGCCAGGCCAGGAGGCUGCAAAACUCAGGACGCAAAAGCAAAAGCACACAGGGCGACGUGUUUCCCGAAGACAGCAAGUUCCCAGAGGACGGUGUAGACCUCUGAGAGUUCCGUCCGACCUGGAGCCCCUUCUGUCUCGUCCUCGCCCAGCCGGGGCUCCACGCGCGGCGCCUCGAGCGUGGAUCAGAACUCCCCACGCCCCGCGUCAUCCCCUCUUCUCGUUCUU
rnacentral:lncRNA from 1 species